CGAUGCCCGGCCACAAGGGUGCUCUGGGCCCUGGGUCCGGGAGAGGAGAGCCUGGCCCCGGAGCGGUCUUUUACAGCACUUUCCCAGGAUGCACCUGUGUCUCAGCUAGGACCAGGAAGGAGAAGCCAUGAUGGAAACAUGGAAGUGACAUUCUGGAGGGAGGGGCCACAACAAUCCCUUCAAUAUUCCCACAGGCAACCCUGGCCCAUUCCUGCUGAGUGUCUCUCCGUGUGUGGCGGCCUCAGUAGGCGUGCAGGUGUGGUCACGCUCUC